rnacentral:rRNA from 1 species
CCUACGGGAGGCAGCAGUGGGGAAUAUUGCACAAUGGGGGAAACCCUGAUGCAGCGACGCCGCGUGAGUGAAGAAGUAUUUCGGUAUGUAAAGCUCUAUCAGCAGGGAUGAAAUAAAGUCCUUCGGACUUUGGACGGUACCUGACUAAGAAGCCCAGGCUAACUACGUGCCAGCAGCCGCGGUAAUACGUAUGGGGCAAGCGUUAUCCGGAUUUACUGGGUGUAAAGGGAGCGUAGACGGCAGCGCAAGUCUGGAGUGAAAUCCCAUGGCUUAACCAUGGAACUGCUUUGGAAACUGGGCAGCUGGAGUGCAGGAGAGGUAAGCGGAAUUCCUAGUGUAGCGGGGAAAUGCGUAGAUAUUAGGAGGAACACCAGUGGCGAAGGCGGCUUACUGGACUGUAACUGACGUUGAGGCUCGAAAGCGUGGGGAGCAAACAGGAUUAGAUACCCUUGUAGUC